rnacentral:rRNA from 1 species
UACGUAGGGUGCAAGCGUUAAUCGGAAUUACUGGGCGUAAAGCGUGCGCAGGCGGUUGUGCAAGACAGAUGUGAAAUCCCCGGGCUUAACCUGGGAAUUGCAUUUGUGACUGCACGGCUAGAGUGUGGCAGAGGGGGGUAGAAUUCCACGUGUAGCAGUGAAAUGCGUAGAUAUGUGGAGGAAUACCGAUGGCGAAGGCAGCCCCCUGGGAUAACACUGACGCUCAUGCACGAAAGCGUGGGGAGCAAACAGG